GAACCAUCCGGAGCGGCCGAGAGACCUGGCUCGAUGACGCCGCAGCAACCACGGUCCAGCAGGAUUCCUGCCGGCCGAAGGUGCUACUGCCAGGACCGAUGGAAA
rnacentral:ncRNA from 1 species